GAUGAACGCUAGCGGCAGGCUUAAUACAUGCAAGUCGAGGGGCAUCGCGGGUAGCAAUACCUGGCGGCGACCGGCGCACGGGUGCGUAACGCGUAUGUAAUCUACCUUUAACCGGGGAAUAGCCCAGAGAAAUCUGGAUUAAUGCCCUAUAGUAUUAUUGGAAGGCAUCUUUCGAUAAUUAAAGCUCCGGCGGCUUUAGAUGAACAUGCGUGUCAUUAGUUAGUUGGCGAGGUAACGGCUCACCAAGACUACGAUGACUAGGGGGUCUGAGAGGAUGAUCCCCCACACUGGUACUGAGACACGGACCAGACUCCUACGGGAGGCAGCAGUAAGGAAUAUUGGGCAAUGGAGGCAACUCUGACCCAGCCAUGCCGCGUGAAGGAUGACGGCCCUCGUGGUUGUAAACUUCUUUUGUACGGGAAUAACCCUCCGAACGUGUUCGGAGCUGAAGGUACCGUAAGAAUAGGGAUCGGCUAACUCCGUGCCAGCCGCCGCCGUAAUAC
rnacentral:rRNA from 1 species